CAAUAGCGUAUAUUAAAGUUGUUGCAGUUAAAAAGCUCGUAGUUGGAUUUCUGGUGGGAGCGAUCGGUCUGGCGCUUAGCGCGAGUACUUGCAUCGUCUCCGGCCAUCCUUGGGGAGAGUCUGUCUGGCAUUAAGUUGUCGGGCAGGGGAUCCUCAUCGUUUACUGUGAAAAAAUUAGAGUGUUCAAAGCAGGCUUAUGCCGUUGAAUAUAUUAGCAUGGAAUAAUAAGAUAGGACUUUGGUACUAUUUUGUUGGUUUGCGCACCAAAGUAAUGAUUAAUAGGGACAGUUGGGGGUAUUCGUAUUCCGUUGUCAGAGGUGAAAUUCUUGGAUUUACGGAAGACGAACUACUGCGAAAGCAUUUACCAAGGAUGUUUUCAUUAA
rnacentral:rRNA from 1 species